UAUACUUUUUUGGACUUAACAAAAUUUUAGUAUAAACGAUAUAUUUUUGCAAAUGUUCUAAUAGCACAAGAUAAAAAAAUAGACCACGCACAACAGAUCAAUAGACGUAUUCGAAACUUCAGAGAAAAACUUGGGUGAGCUGCGAAGUUUAAAGGACAUAAAUUCUCAUCAUGGCGUCACAAGAUAUAAAUCUAAUGACUGAUGCACAAGUUCUAGAAAUGUUCAAUAAAUGCAAUUUUGGGACUUUAUUAGCUCCCAUCAUUAAUACAGUUGAUGAAUCAACGGUGAUAAUAAUAACAAUGCCUUCACCAGAACCCGAACUCAUAGAAGUAUAUGUUUAUAUGCGCAGCGAAUUGGACAAUAUUUUACUAGGUCACAUCUCUUGUCGCCAAUUAGACUUAGACAUCUUUAACAGAUUACGACCACAAAUAUGUCCAGACGCAAUGGUGGUUAAUACUGAUGUAUGGAUAAACAGUGAAGCUGUUACACAAUGGCUUGCAACAAUGUAAACACAGAGAUUAACUUCACAACUUAUAAAACCAACACAAAAAAGCGAGAUAGCAACGAAAGUAUUGAUAAAGUUGCUUACUAUUUAAUCGGUAAUGUAAUCGAUAUUAGUCACUAUUUCGUUAAAUAAGCAUUUCCACUGAUUCUAAUUACAAGCGAAUACCAUUUGGACAAGCUGAUCUACACAAUCUUUUCACGCAUCUCCUUACUGAAGCGCAUUAUUAGAACGGAAUAUUAUUCGACUUUUGUUGCACAUAAAGAUCUUGCGUAAAAUUUAUGCUUGUAGUUUCUCCAGAACCAUGAAGUAAAUCAAACUUUCAGCUAAUUUUACGAAGACAAUAACAACAUUCAUCAGGCUUUGGUAAUCACGCAAAAUUUAACAACGCAAAACAAUGUUUGACAAAAUUAUCUUAAAUUAGACGAUAUUAGUGUCUGCAGAGACGUACAAACUAUGUUCUUUACAUGUUAAUAAGUAAAAAUUAUUCUUGAUUUUGAAUCGUUGACAUACAAGAAAUAAUGUUAGAGUUAUCAAGGUAGUAAUUAUCAAAGUACUGCAUGCAUGAUAAGCACUUCGAAAUCGAUUUAGGAAAUUACUAUGAAUGACUACCACAAAAGGGCUGUCGCUAUGUAAACGAAUUGUAAUUUCAAUUACUGGAUAUUGUCUAUAUAAAAUGGAAACUGAACUUGAAUGAGCUUAGAUUCAUUUCAGUAAACCAUCGGAUACUGCAACAUGGUGCAAAUCAAAUCUCAAAAACAACAAAUUUACUUCGUUGUGUUUGAGGAUUAUUUGCAACCACCAAGGAAACCUCACAAAAAGGAUAAUCUUUUGUUGAUAGAUGAGAACAUUAAACGAAAACCGGAGCUAAGGUUAAUACUUUUGGAGCAUCCUGUAUUUGUAAGUGCAAACAAAUCAACAAUAUGGCAACGUUGUCGGUUAUUUUUAAGGAAUUUUUACUAUGCGAAAUUGGCAAAGUUCCAACACCCUAAAAAAAGAAACCUAACGAUCAAAGAGAAAAAGGAAGACCCAGUAAAUAAUAAAUUGAACAUUCUUAACAAUGGCAGCAUCUACAAAAUAUAUAAGUCUCUCCGUAACCAUUUCCAUUUGCCGGGCUUUCUUGCCUUUUUACUUGCUCGGAAUGAUGAUGGCCUUUGCAAACGUAAGACGGGUUUUGAAAUUUAUUGUGAAAUGGCCAGUAUUCAUGGCUUUGUGAAUUUUGUGGGAGCAAAAACUUGGCAGCGCAUACUUUGGUGUCUUGUUAUAUUCAUUGCCAUUUUAAUGUCCACUAUUUUUUUGGUUAUGUGGCAUUUAAUGAAUGUUAACACUCCGACAAUUUUAUAUACGGAAAGCAGCACAUACCCAGCUUGGACAAUACCCUUUCCUGCGGUAACAAUUUGUAAUUUUAAUCGAAUUUCCUACAGGAACGCAUUUACCUUUGCACAAAAAUUGUAAGUAUAAUCUGAUCUAAUAAGAA